AUGCUAGCGCUCCUCGCCGCCAUCGACCUGCAAGGAGGAGCGCCGUGUUGGACGCUGCCAUCUCCGACGCUGCUGGUACUCCUCCGCCGCUACGAGUGCCCCAUCACCUGCGCCCAGGUCAAGCGCGAAGUCGAGCUCCCCAUGCUUGACCUGCAAGAUGUACUGUGGUCAAGAACUGCUCUCUGCCGCGGGAGUAGAUUGGAAAGGCUGCUGCUGCUCCUGUACAAUGCGGCUGCUACUACCACUACCACUCAUCGAUUCGGGCAUGAGCACAUUCUUGGAGUGGAUCUGCAUUUCAAAAAGUUAACAAGUGGGAGUACAUGGAGUACUACAUUUUAA
rnacentral:rRNA from 1 species